AUUGAACGCUGGCGGCAUGCCUUACACAUGCAAGUCGAACGGUAACAGGUCUUCGGAUGCUGACGAGUGGCGAACGGGUGAGUAAUACAUCGGAACGUGCCUAGUAGUGGGGGAUAACUACUCGAAAGAGUGGCUAAUACCGCAUGAGAUCUACGGAUGAAAGCAGGGGAUCGCAAGACCUUGUGCUACUAGAGCGGCCGAUGGCAGAUUAGGUAGUUGGUGGGAUAAAAGCUUACCAAGCCGACGAUCUGUAGCUGGUCUGAGAGGACGAUCAGCCACACUGGGACUGAGCACCGGCCCAGACUCCUACGGGGGGCAGCAGUGGGGAAUUUUGGACAAUGGGAGAAAGCCUGAUCCAGCAAUGCCGCGUGCAGGAUGAAGGCCUUCGGGUUGUAAACUGCUUUUGUACGGAACGAAAAGCCCCGGGUUAAUACCCAAGAUGAGUGGACGUUACUCGCAGAAUAAGCACCGGCUAACUCUGUGCCAGCAGCCGCCGUAA
rnacentral:rRNA from 1 species